AUACCACAGACCAAGUAGAGAUGCUACGCACUAGACGGUAAUGUUCCAUAGUAAAAAAAUUGCUCUGUGGAAACUGCUCUUAUAGAACAUGACAGCUCUUUUUUUAAAUUGAAUUAUAUGCCUUGGAAGUUAGUAGCUUUGGUUGGUAGCAAUUUUAGCCUUUUUCAGCCUAAAUCGCCUCCCCUUUUCACCCUAUAAAAUUUAUUUAUUUUCAAUUGGAAGGGGAAUUUGAAUAUGAUGAGUGAUAAAUCUUUGACUUUGACGUUUGCAAGUAGCCCUAAUAGCCACUGCAUCCUGAAUUGUAAUUAUGAGCCACCAAUAACAAAAAAGAUGUCUGUGACAUGGAUCCCUAAUAUUCUCUCAGAUGGUGACGAAUAAAGAAAGAAGAACCCAGGAGUAUAAAAAAUACUUACAUACAUACCUACCAUUGUGGUGCUGUACAUACAUACAUAGUCACACCACCAUACCAGGAUGGACUGAGCCAAGCACUACCAAGAAGACCAACUGCAGCCUCUUGUGAUGGACAUAAUGACCAGAGUGGUGACAGAUAAGCAACCCAUCACAAAUAUAAAUAUUUCGUUUUUCUGUGCAAGUUUUGAUGUUAUAAAUAAAAUACAAUCAAAAAGUAUUUGUAAAAAGUAUGUUUUAUUACUAGUUUAGUAGGGAACAGAAAUAAAAUAAAUAAACAAA